UCCCUGGGGUGCAACUUCUGCUUCAUUC
rnacentral:piRNA from 1 species